rnacentral:rRNA from 1 species
CUGUUUGGACGAGGGGCCCCUCUCGGGUUACCGAAUUCAGACAAACUCCGAAUGCCAAUUAAUUUAACUUGGGAGUCAGAACAUGGGUGAUAAGGUCCGUGUUCGAAAGGGAAACAGCCCAGACCACCAGCUAAGGUCCCAAAAUAUAUGUUAAGUGGAAAAGGAUGUGGCGUUGCCCAGACAACUAGGAUGUUGGCUUAGAAGCAGCCAUCAUUUAAAGAGUGCGUAAUAGCUCACUAGUCGAGUGACACUGCGCCGAAAAUGUACCGGGGCUAAACAUAUUACCGAAGCUGUGGAUUGUCCUUUGGACAAUGGUAGGAGAGCGUUCUAAGGGCGUUGAAGCAUGAUCGCAAGGACAUGUGGAGCGCUUAGAAGUGAGAAUGCCGGUGUGAGUAGCGAAAGACGGGUGAGAAUCCCGUCCACCGAUUGACUAAGGUUUCCAGAGGAAGGCUCGUCCGCUCUGGGUUAGUCGGGUCCUAAGCUGAGGCCGACAGGCGUAGGCGAUGGAUAACAGGUUGAUAUUCCUGUACCACCUAUAAUCGUUUUAAUCGAUGGGGGGACGCAGUAGGAUAGGCGAAGCGUGCGAUUGGAUUGCACGUCUAAGCAGUAAGGCUGAGUAUUAGGCAAAUCCGGUACUCGUUAAGGCUGAGCUGUGAUGGGGAGAAGACAUUGUGUCUUCG